rnacentral:lncRNA from 1 species
GCUGGGGUGGUUGGCUUAUGUUUAGCUUUUUGAGGAGCUGUCGAUCUGUCUCCCACAGCUGUACAAUUUCCUAUUCCCACCAGCAGCAGUGCUUGAGGGUUCCAAUCUCCAUAUCCUCACCACUACUUUUUAUUUUGUUUUAUUGAUAAGAGCUAUUGAUAAUAGGGUCUUUGGCCCAUACUUGAUACACAGAGUUUUAGCCAUGAACAUUGCCCUUUUCCUAGAUAGCCGCGUAGGCACGGAGAAGUAAGAAGCCGUAGCUGGGAUCUGUUUAGAUGUUGGCCCACAAGUCCUUUGCUAGUUGGGCUCUGCCUGUUGGGCAGAUGUAAGUGGAAGUAAAAGUCCAGCCGCAGUGUUUUCUGGGACUGAUGACUGCGUUUUCCACUUGUCCUCUCCUGCCCAGGGCAGAACCGCUCCCAUCUGUAACCUGCCCAUCAGGGCCAUCGGGCUCAUCGUGGAGAUCCACCGACUGAAACACUGAAACAGACCUGUUUGGUUGCUCCCACACAGCCGUUUGCUUGAGCGCCCCCCCCCCCUCCCCGGAGCAGGGAGGCCCCCUCAAAACGACCUUGGGGAGCCUAAGAGGGGAGCCUGAUGCUGCACCGCUGGCCUCCAGUCACCCACUGAUGUCCUCUUGGUGAGCCUGCCGAGGGUAGCAGUGCUGGGACCAUCCGGUAAGGAGCAAGCCCUGGUCCCAGGCCGGAGUGAGGAUUUGCUGUGAGCUGUGGGACCCAGGGCCCCUCUCCCUCGAGCCCUGCAGCUGCUCACGUCACCACACGGAGCCUCUCUGCAUGGAACAAAACUCCCUAUCCUCUGAGGGCUCCUGAUGCUAUCGUCUGUCUCACAGGAAACCCUGACGGAGGUCUGGGCAGAUCUGGCACCAUGUGGCUUCCAGCUCUUCCCCACUGUCAGAAUGACCAGGAAAAGGAAACGUUUUGAAUCCAUUCAGGACAUGGAGGCAGCCAGGACAGCGCAACUAAAGACACUCGGGAAAGAGGGCUCCAGAGCUGCUGCAGGAAGCGGCCAGGACGGUGGGAGGAGCGUGUGUGAGGAAAAACUGCAUUGCCACGGAUCCCCCUGUGACACUGUCCUAGCGGUGAGCACCUCAUCUCGUCUUCCUUGCCCUCUGGAGCAGGUCCAGAGCCCAUCUGCCUGGCUGUGGAGGCUGCAGCCUGUGCUGCAUGUGUCUUGGUGGCUUUGCUUUCUAUCCACCUAUGCACGCCUUUCCACACCUUCCACAGGGUCUGGAAGGAGCAAGGACGGGGACCUGGACUCAAAUCCACACUGGGCUGAAGCCAAAGCUCCCUGUGUCCUGCAUGGGUGCUUCCAAGGCUGGAGGCUCGGCUCCGCAAUGCCUUCAGUCAGACCGGGGUGCUCACCUUCCACUGGCUCACGUGCUUGCAGGGGGUUUGUGAGGACCACAUUUCCCAGAGUUGGCCCUGUGGGACAGGAGGCCUGGUGUCAGCAGCAGCUGGAGUGGCCAUUCCUCGCCUGGGAUGCUGGGAAGGAGUUGCAGUUGGGAUGGCAGUCAAGACCCCGGGCCCGAGAGUGGCAGCUGGCCAUCCAGAUCAGCAGCGUCCAGAUCCCUGGCCAGGGCGGCAGAUGGUCCCCUCCCUGAGGCAGUGACGCCCCCCGUGGUCCCCGUGACGGGCUUCCUGGGGCAGGAGGCGUCUCAAUGCCGCCGCUGUCUGGCUCCCAACACAAACCCCAGCUUCCCAACUGCUCUCAGAAUAGAUGCACAUGUUGGAGUCUUUCCGCGGGCAGGAAACGUCACGACCAAGGACAUGGUGUUUUUGUCAUCUGAUGUCCUUGUCUGAAUGAUCCAGCAUGGCCGCCCAGGUGAACACCAGUGUGGCCCAGCCCUGGGUCCUGCUAGGCGGGUGCAUCUACUUCCUGUGCAUACCCAAGACAGCAGCGAGGCGAUGUCUGGUUUCUGGGGUGAUCAGCUGGGGAGGGGCUUCCUGCCUUCAGGGACCACUGGUAAACCCUGUGCUCUAGCCGAGCCGCCUACCCUGGCCGUUCAGAGAGACAGUGAGCGCCCUGAGGAUGCCCACGGCACACACAUUGCUGUGCUGUGUGCACUUUGUGUGUGUGCAGCGAGUGGUGUUCGGCGUGUGUGUCAUGUAGGGUGGGAGUGUCGGUUGUGAGCCCUGUGCUGUGUGUCCUGUGUAUGGCAUCCGGGUGUGUUGCGUGUGGGGUGCUUCUUGUGUGCUCUGCUGUGUUGUGUGCUGUUGUGAAGCGCACGUACGUACUGUACGUACCGUCACACCCAGGCCCUGUGGGCAUUUUGCUGAUGUGGGCGAGGCUGCCAGACCCAGAAGUCAGAAAGUGGGGCGGGCCCUCUGCCCACCAGCACACACGACACACAGCACAGACACAUUCAUGUGACACAGGUCCCACACACGCAGCAGAGGCCACGUACAUGUGGUCUGUAAUACAGACCACACACCACACAGCACAAAUGCACACACACCUCACAGAGCACAUACAUACAACACAACACACACGACACAGGCUGUAUGCCAUAUGCACACAAGUGUGGACAUGAAAUACAGACCACACACACAGCACAGACCAUGCACACACAACCACACACCGCACACCAACAGUGCACACAACAGUCCAUGGACCUCACACACGUACAACCACACACACACAGACGGGUCACACAAACCAGGUCAUGGCAGGGCCCCUGCACAGGGCCAGGGAGGGAGGUGGCCUGGCCAGGACAGGAGCAACAGAUUCUGGGUCCCCAUGGGCGGGGACCAGUGGGGCAGGGUCACUGGCUGGGGAGGAGGCCUGGGCAGCUGUUGGGCACAGGACUUCUUGCGUCAGUCCUGCUGGGGACCUCUGUCACCUGCUCCCACACUCCCAGCCGCGCCUCCCCUCCCCUGCCUGGCCCUGUCUGGAGCUGCCCUCCAGCCCUGUGGCCAGCUGGAUACUUGUCCCAAGCUCUUUUCUGGUCCAUUUUAGUUAAGGGAGUCUGUUCUGCUCACCACUUCAGCUGGAGGCUUAAAUCCUGGGUCUGUCCCUGGGGCCCCACCCUGACUCCAAGGACCUCAUCUUCCAGCCCAGAAAGCUUUGAUCAUGUACCUAUCAACAAAAACCACUGGCACACCCAGCACUUGAUGUACAGAUUAAAUAAAAAUCACGGGAAGCCUUUGUCUUGGAUGAAGCUCCUAUCCUGUACCCCAUCCCACAGGCCAAGCUAAAAAAUCAAGAUGGAGCCACUCAGGCUAAAGUUCCGUGUGACCUGCCUGGACUCAGCUGUCAUAUGACCUUCCUAGAAGACAGGAGAGGAAAUGGACAAAUUUCCCAAACAGGCCAGGUUUCCUCCAUCAGCCUCCCUGUCCAGCCUCACCUCAUCUUGCAAGGUGUUGUGAUGCUGUCUUGUGACACACAUGCAGGUAGAUAUAACAUGAUGUGUAUGCUAUAGUGUCAUUAUCAUCACAGCAGGAAAUAUGGGGACUGAAAGCUCAGAGGAGACUCCCCAGUAUUGAUUUCUCAGAUUCCUUCUGUAUGUGGGGGACAUGGGGGAAUGUUUGCAGCCCCCAAUUGGUCUGGGUGCCUAGGGCCAGGUUGGGGUUGAAACCAGGCCCCAGCUGGGUCACCCCCAGCCUCUUGUCCCGGUGCUUGGGAGCCAGGGAUCCCUGCAGGAGGGCCCUGGGCUGCUGCUGGGGUCAGGACCCAUCCAAGGGCUCUCCCUGGGAUGCCUCUGCUUCCCUUCCGCCCCAUGAUGCACAGUGUUCCCGUCCCCAGGCUGCCCCAGGGCUGGCGGGGUGGUGAGUCCAAAGCACAACACCAGCCUGGAGUGAGCAGCAGGCAUGCACUGCUGCACUCGGAGCUGGGCCUGGACCCUGUGGGCUGCACAUGGAGGGUGCCCAGUUGGCUCCAACCAUAGGGUCCUUGCCGUGGCCCUGCCUCCUGCAGCCACAAGACCUUUCUAGGUUUUCCUUCAAGCAAUAUGAAGUUCACCAUCAUAGCCAUUUUCAUGUGUACAGUUCUGGUGUGGACCCAGCAGUGGAAUGCCAGAGCAGGUGGUAGGUCUGCAUUUUGCUUUUUUGUGUUUUUGUUCUUUUUUUCUUUUUUUUUUUUGUUUUUUUGAGACAGGGUCUCCUGUGUAGCCCAGGCUGGCGAUCCUCCUGCCUCAGCCUCCAGGGUGCUGGGAUUACAGGCAUGUACCACCACACCCAGCUGCAUUUUGCUUUUUGAGGACCUGCUCAACUAUUUUCCACAGAGGCUACACCAUUUUCCAUCCCUGCCAACCAUGCACAAGGGUUAUCUUUCUCCACGUCUUCGCCUACACUCAUUACUUUCUGGUUUUCCAUCGUGGCCACCCUGUGUGUGUGAGGUGAUGUUGUGACAUCCCAUUGUGAUUUGGUUUGCAGUUACCUAACUCAUCUUUUCAUGGGCCCAUGGGCCAUUUGUAUGUCUUUGGAGAAAGGUUUGUUCAAGUCCUUUACCCAUUUUUGGUUCUCAAUUUGUUGCUGAAGUUUAGGAGUUCUCUCUGUAUUCUGUAUACUAAUCCUUUAUCAGAUGUAGGAUUUGCAAAUAUUUUUUCCUAUUCCAUGAGUUGCCUUUCUGGUUGUGCCCUUUGAUGCAUAGAAACUCUAUGUUUUUUAUGGUAUUGAGGAUUGAACAAUGGCCUUUACACUGAACUAAAUCCUUAGCCCUUAUUUAUUUAUUAUUUAUUUGGUACCGGGGAUCGAACUCAGGUCCUUGCGAUUGCGCAGGAGGCGGCGAAACCACUAAAUCCCCGGCCCAUCCCUUUAUUAUUAUUACUUUUUAAAUUUUGAUACAGGAUCUCACUAAGUCACUAAGUUGCCUAGUUUUGGCUAAAUCAUGCAAUCCUCCUGCCUCAGCCUCU